AUACGGAGGGUGCAAGCGUUAAUCGGAAUUACUGGGCGUAAAGCGUGCGCAGGCGGUUUGUUAAGUCAGAUGUGAAAGCCCCGGGCUCAACCUGGGAACUGCAUUUGAAACUGGCAAACUAGAGUGUGGUAGAGGGAAGUGGAAUUCCUCGUGUAGCGGUGAAAUGCGUAGAUAUGAGGAGGAACACCAGUGGCGAAGGCGACUUCCUGGACCAUCACUGACGCUCAUGUACGAAAGCGUGGGUAGCAAACAGGAUUAGAAACCCCAGUAGUCC
rnacentral:rRNA from 1 species